ACCGCCCCCCUGCACAGGCAAUAAACACCGCCCCCCCCCACACCUCUGCUCCCCGGAACAGGGCUCGCUCGGCUGCCCGGGACAUGGGGGCUCACCGGGACAUGGAGGCUCACCGGGGAUCACCGGGACAGCAAGUCUCCCACCACCCGCUUUAACAGGUUCACACAGAAAAAAAACCUGCACAGUAGGAAAAACUUCUCUGCGCAGCAGCUCUGCGGACACUCCCCAAGCCAGCCUGUGCAACUUCUGUGCACGUUUAUAAACUGGAAUUGGAAAAAUCAGGAGAUGGGCACUCUCUCCCUAUAUAAAGCUCAGCUCCACAGAGGAACCGCGGCUUCCUGACAUGACCUAUAGUGGAAGAGGAGGCUUUGGAAAGACCUGGGGAGUUUUCUGCCUCUCAGCUGGAGCCACAGGCAAUUCUCUCCUCUUUAAACUGUCCGUCACUAUUCAAGCUGAAUGAUAAUGUUUCACUUAGACGCAAAAAUUAGCCAAAACGGCAAAGUUGUGGCCCCAAUGAAAUCACUGUUUACUUCA